ensembl:lncRNA
GCAGGAUGGAGGGUGCUUGGAGAGGAAGGAGGUGGCUGGCCGAAUUGGGGUGGAGGGUGCAAAUCUGCUCUGCUAUCCACACCCCUGGUCUUUGGGUCUACAUUAGCUUUCUCUCUCGCUGUUCCUCCCCGCCUCCCUCCUUCCCUUCCUUUCUCCCUUCUCUCUUUCUCUCUCCAUUCUUUCUCCGUCUGCCCGUGACUGUCUCCCUGUCUCUAUCUUUUUUGUGUUACCAUUUCUUUGCCUCUCCGUUCUCUCUCUUUAUUUCGCUUUACCUCUCUGGUUAUUUGACUCUGUCUCUGUCCCCAUCUCUGGGUCCAUCUCUGUAUGUCUCACUGUCUCCAUCUCUCUGCCUCUCCGAUUCUCUCUCUUUCUCUCUGUUUCUGACCAUCUUACUCUGUCUUUGCUGCUUUAAUUCUGUUUCUGUGAAUGUGUCUGUCUGUCCGUCUCUCUCCAGGACAAAGAAGGAUGCCCUUGGUGGAGACUCUCAGCCCCUGCAUUUGGAUUGCUGCCCGGCCCCCUGCCCCUCCUCCUCCCACAAACAGUUGUGCUGACAUCUCAGGAAAGAAGGGCCUGAGUGGGGGCUUCAUGGAGCCCAUUGUACAGAUGGGGAAGCUAAGGCUCAGAGAUGCAGGCAGGCAGGCCCCAAGGUUCCCAGGCCCCAGCCUUGGAGAUAGCUCUUGGAGACCCCAACUCACCAUCUCCUACUCAGCUGUUAAUGCCUCCCAGACUGAUCCUGUGCUUCUGCUGGGGACCUGGGCCUGCCUGCCGUGAGUCCCGUGAUAGAAAAAUGGUCACCAGCGACUGGCCUGAACGGUCUCCACAAGUCAGCUUGGCCACAGAGUUCUAAAGUGAUUUCCGUCAACCAAUAAACUGGAGAUGCUGGAUGAAAUAAAGCUCUCAGAG